UGGGCUUUGUUCGGGGCUCUUUUUCCCU
rnacentral:piRNA from 1 species